GGGUUCUUGGUGGAUCCUAAAAGUUCACAUAUUUUAAAAGAUAUAUAUAUUUUUUUGAUAUACUAUAUUUUUAAAGAGUUGAAACUCCGGGAUAGUUGUGAAUGUGAUUGACAUAAUAUAAGCCAAUGUGUGUGCAUCUAAGCGUGUAUAUGUGUGUGUGUGUUUUCCCCCAAGGUGUUUGGUGAUGUGUGUUUUGAUGAAAUUCUGAUAUAUGGGUUUUGCUGGUUUAAGAGUGUAGUUUUGUAAAUAAGUUGAUGCUAUUCAAAAUUUGUUUCUUCUUUCAUAUAGCAGAUCGCUUCUUAGCUGAUAACCUGGUUCAGGGUCUGUCCUAAGUCCAGCUUUUGUUUAAAUGUGCUUGAUUACCAUCCUUAUUAUUUAUAGGCGCUUUCUACUAUAUUAAUGGUUUCUUUGUUUUUCCUUGCAAUGGGUUUAACCUAAUAUAAAUGCUUAUUAAAGAUAAAAUCUUUGUUUUAAGUUGGUCUUGUUAAUUAUAGCUGGACUAUCCUAUCCAAGUUGAUUUACAUGAAAAUUGAAAUAGCCUGAAAUAGCAGAAGUGGGAUUGGUUUGGAAAUUGGAAUAGAUUAUAUUUAUGCCAAUCAAAUCAGAACUAUCUAGUGUUUUCCUUCUUUGUUUGAUAAUAGGCAAGCUAAAUCUUUUGUGAUAAAUUUUUCUAUUUCUUAUGCUUGGAUUGUCCAAAUGGGCAGAGCCUGAACCAUUUGUUGUCAUCAGAAUGAUUAGGCUCUUUAAAAAUUGUCACCCACUAUGCUGCAUUUAUGGGUUAAAUGAAUGAGACAUGAAAUUAUAUGAUUGUUGUUAAAUGUGUCUAACCCAGGUUUAAGGCCUUUAGUGUUGAUUUUCAAUAGUAAUCUAUUUUAUACUCCCUCAUAGUUAGUUAAAUGGAUAUUCUAUUGAUCAGGUAAAUAGUUAUAACAAGUCUGGUACAAUUAUGUGAAACCAUGGUAAACACCCACUCUUGAAGCUAUAGUUUCAACUGAUGAGUGGAGCACAUAUCCACAUGAUAUAUAAUUUUGGGUGUAUGAGACAACCCAGUUUGUAGAAAUUUCCAUUUUUGAAGUUUUUAUAUCAUGGAAUAUUGAUGUUUCACUUACUUUUGUAGUUCAUGUAUUCUUAAAAUGAAAAUUCUUGGUUCUUAAAUUGGUAUGUAUGCAUUGGAUUACUGUUCUCAAGCAUUUUACUUUUGUAGUAGAGAUAUUGCCUUCUAGAAAAAUAAAUAUCGCCUCUCUGUUUGAUGGUUUGAUAUACAUUUGUCAUCAUAUGAUUCAUAGAAUUUGAAAUGUCAGUUAAAGUUGUAGAACCUUGUUGACAUUGCCAUAUUUUUCCAUUAGGCUAAAGAAGGAGAGGUGUCAAUGGUUGCAAAGCUUGCUGAUCCUGGCUAUGCACUUGAGCUGUCAACACCUGUUCCAACAAUUGGUUUAGUAAGUAUGAUCCUUGGCAUGCUAUUGAAUGGCUAGAUACUGAAUGCUUUUCAGCCUAAUGCGGCAUCUAUUGUAGACAUAUUAUGGACAGCCACUUAAUGUUCCAUGUUUUGUUGACCAAGCUGUAGUAUGCAGGUUUCAUACAUGAAUCAAAUUUCCUUUUCUUAGAUUCUUAGUGCUGUGGAUUUGGAAUGAUUGUUUUUAGAGGCGUUAAUUGGGGAUAAUGAUGAAACAAGAUAAUUUCUCCCCUCCCUCCCUCCUGGUUUUGUUAAGCUUUAUGACUAUCCUAACUUUGCAGCCAAGAGCAACCUUCAAAUUCCCCCUCGGUGAAGUUUCACUUGAGGAGAGAGAAGAU
rnacentral:misc_RNA from 1 species